GGAGGUGCUUGAGGUACAUUAUAUGUCAUCUGCCUGAUCAAGGAUGUCCAAAUGUGGUUUAAAAUAAUGUCGUCUGUUAAUAAUAUUAAACAAAAAUAAGGAUAGAUAUCAGUCAGUGACAGUUGAGAGAUCGGGUAUCUAGUCUUCAACAGGUGGUGGGACAUAUGCUGAUAGAUUUCUAAAGGCUGUUACAACCUGGGAUUGUAUUUGCAUUCUGCUGGCUGUGUCAACUCAAGUGAGAUGCCAUCCAAGGGGUGGGUUGGGACAAGGCAUCACUGUUGAGUCAACCCAUCAAAGGCAGUCAGAAAACAUUCUGUGGAAACGCAACUAUUUUGAAAAGAUUUCUGCAGCAGUGUUUGGUGACUGUUGGGACCUGGCCUUAUUAAGCGGGACUGUGUGGCAGCUUUUCUCUUGGAUGUAAGGGGAAAUGA